CGGGAGGUGUCACAGGAAUCGACUGGGUUCUCCAUGGAGCUGGCUUUGGUGUGCUCGGUCCCUGGGUGCAGUGGGCAGUAGCAGGCGUACUGUCUAGGGGAUGGCUGCUUCACUUUUGCACCCUGCUCUAGGAGGAGGAGGUGGAUGUGGAGUUGGAGGUUGAAGAGGCGGUGACCGUGGCAACAACAACGCAUUCGGAUGUCUGCCCUAUCAACUUUCGAUGUUACUUUCUGCGCCUACCAUGGUGACCACGGGUACCGGGGAAUCAGUGUUCGAUUCCGGAGAGGGAGCCUGAGAAACGGCUACCACAUCCAAGGAAGGCAGCAGGCGCGCAAAUUACCCACUCCCGACGUGGGGAGGUAGUGACGAUAAAUAACAAUACAG